rnacentral:rRNA from 1 species
AUGCCGAAAGCAAGGACAAGAUCUUGGAUAUCGCCACCACCUGAGCACAUGAAGAUCAACAUGGAUGCUGUCGUUUCCAGGACAGGGAGGUUUGGCGCUGCUAGUGCUAUUUGCAGGGACGAAGCAGGAGGUUUCUUGGGGGCAUCGACACUUGUUCUUAACAACAUCUUUGAUCCCCAGAUUCUCAAAACCAUAGCAAUACGAGAAGCCCUGGCCCUUGCUCAAGAUCUCUAUAUCAGCAAGAUGUCCAUAGCAUCCGACUGCAAGGUGGCCAUCGAUGCGAUCAAGGAUGGGAGUGCUGCAAAAUUUGGUGCAGUAAUCACAGAAGUUAAAGAUACCUCUAGUAAUUUUUCUUCCUACAUUUUUAGUCAUGAGUAUAGGACCUCGAAUGAGGAGGCCCAUAAUCUCGCAAAGUACGCUUUAUCCUUAGGGUUUGGCCGCCAUGUUUGGCUAGGUCAGCCCGGAGAUCUUGUAAUCGUCCCUACAAACAUUGUGACGCAAUAA